UACCCAUCCAGAGCGGCCGAGAGACCUGGCUUGUCGACGCCGCAGCAAAUCCACUCAGCAAUGAGUGGAUAGUGCUUCCGCCAGGAUCGAUGGAGA
rnacentral:ncRNA from 2 species